rnacentral:lncRNA from 1 species
CAGGGCAGACGGGGCGGGCGGGGCCCUUAGAAGUUCCGCCCAGAAGCUCCUGCUCAGUAACUACAGACGCGAAGCUCAGCCUCUCGGUUUGGGAAUUUUCUUGGAGGCCGAGGCCCUGCGCCUCUGUCUGCACCCAAGGCGACCGCCCAGCUUACCCCCGGCUCUUCUGAGCACAGGGAGGCCUCCCAGCAAAGCCUGAACCCUCUAAGUUUAGCUGCAGGCUUCGAACCCCGACCGUCCCCGCCGAGCCUUGGGCUGCUGAGGUGGGGAUGAACUGGGCGAAAGACACUUGGGAGUUAGGAAGAAACAAACAAGCAGGGAAGUGACCAGGAGACAAGAUGGGCGUCCACAGAAUGAAUACAGGAAUGUCUGUCUGCCUGUCUGUGUAUACUCUGUGAAGGAAUAUACCAACAUUACAUGCUGACCCAAGGAUAGCCAGUACGCCUUCUGCAAGAGGAAAGUUUGUGUUUCAAAAUCCAUCAAGUGAAAGAGAACAGAAAAAUUCAGAGGGCGUCAUUCACGGAAGGAUUCAAAGCUUUUAGAUAAAGUGUACAACGUGGAGGGUGAAAGAAUGAGCUGGAAGCAGGCAUCAUAAAGCACCAUCGUACUGCAAAGAGCAGGAUUUAAAAGCUAGCACCACCACUUGCUAGCUAGGGAAACUUGGGUAUCAUUUGAGGAUAUGCUGCAGCAAAAUGAGUGAAUAAACAAGAAAGUCAAAGACAUGGGAUUGAGGAAACAGUGACUUCAGCCCAAGAUUGGAAUGACAGGGAGCCCCAGGCCACUGGGCAGCAGCACAGACAGCAAUCUGUUCAGACUGCAGCAGAACAGCAAACUCCUGGAGCAGAAAUCCAAAGGCCACAGCUUUACUUUGGAAUAAAGAAGGAGGAAGAUACCAAGGCCUACAAUUUCCUGCUAGAGAACUGGUGAAUCACUUAUUGGUUAAAAGUUCUAAGACAGAUAAAUGCAUACAUGAUGAUGCAGCUGACAGACUUUUGUGCAGCCAGAUGGCAACUGGCAAGGCCACUACCCUUGGCUCCAAGCUCCAGCCCCAACAGCAUCAAUGCAGGAUAAGUUUCCUGCUCCAAUCAGCUGGGAAUGACUUCCAGAUCUACUGGCUUUAACAAACUCCAUAUCCUUAAAACAAUUCGAAUGGAUCAUGAUAUGAAGAUUUAUUAUCUUGGGAGGCUUCAGUUUUUAAAGUACGUUGACAUGCACUAUUGCACUUGAUUCUUGUAACAAAUUUGUAAGAAAACAAGGGUAGCUAUUAUUAGUCCCUCUUUAUCAUUAUUAUGAAAACAUUUCUAAAUAGAAAAAUUGAGGACCAUAAAUGUAUACGGAAAAUUUGUUUUUAAAAGAAAUACCCAAGUGAAAGCACAAUGUUCUCAAGAUCCAGGUCAAGUUUUCUUGUAUAGAAGGAAUAAGUUUAACAUAAAAACCAUAAGUUUCUAUGAAUAUAUCUUGUUAAUAAAUUUAAUGAUGUGACUAAUUCCCAAGCUCUAUGUUACUUAGAGAACUAUACUUAGGAUACUGUGUAUUCAUCCAUACAAUAAAGUUUUUUUACCCAACAAUUUCAGAUUUCUCACAUCUUUAUUGAGAAGUUCACAAGUAAUGAAACUUCAUUAGGAUAAAAAAUGAGAGGUACAGCAAAGUUUUCUCUCUAAAAAUUACUGGUGUGCAAUAAAUUUUUCUCUACAAUAUGAUCCCAAAUCUUUAAAAGUAAAAUAUAUCAACUAAUAUUAGGUUUGGUAUCAGAAAAUUUCAUUGU